GAUGAAGAACGUAGCGAAAUGCGAUACGUAAUGUGAAUUGCAGAAUACAGUGAAUCAUCGAAUCUUUGAACGCAUAUUGCGCUCUCUGGUAUUCCGGAGAGCAUGCUUGUUUGAGUAUCAGUAAACACCUCAACUUCCAUAUCUUUUUUGAAAUGGGAGUUGGACUUGAGUGAUCCCAACGCUUUUCCUCACCGAAAAGUGGCGGGUUACUUGAAAUGCAGGUGCAGCUGGACUUUUCUCUGAGCUAUAAGCAUAUCUAUUUAGUCUGCCUAAAAAACAGAUUAUUACCUUUGCUGCAGCUAACAUAAAGGAGAUUAGUUCUUGUGCUGACUGAUGCAGGAUUCACAAAGACAGGCUUCGGCCGACUUUGUAAACUCGAUCUCAAAUCAAGUAAGACUACCCGCUGAACUUAAGCAUAUCAAUAAGCGGAGGA
rnacentral:misc_RNA from 1 species